GGGGAAUCGGGUCAAUAUUCCCGGCCCGGACGCUGGAAGGAUUGACAGAUCAAGAGCUCUUUCUUGAUUCAGCGGGUGGUGGUGCAUGGCCGUUCUUAGUUGGUGGAGCGAUUUGUCUGGUUAAUUCCGAUAACGAACGAGACUCUAGCCUACUAAACAGGCGCGACAUUCCGAUCCCUCGAGUCGGACGCCCUUCUUAGAGGGACAAGCGGCGCUUAGCCGCACGAGACAGAGCAAUAACAGGUCUGUAAUGCCCUUAGAUGUCCGGGGCCGCACGCGCGCUACACUGAAGGAAUCAGCGUGUGCUCUCCCUGCCUGGCAAGGCUGGGUAACCCGCCGAACCUCCUUCGUGAUAGGGAUAGGGGCUUGUAACUGUUCCCCUCGAACGAGGAAUACCCAGUAAGCGCGAGUCAUAAGCUACGUGUUGAUUACGUCCCUGCCCUUUGUACACACCGCCC
rnacentral:rRNA from 1 species